ACCAUCUGUGCUAUAUGGAGGUUUGUAUCCUCAAGACAGCCAUAAUUCACAUUAAUGUCAUGACACAAGCUACAACCAACAAUACCAGAAAGGUUAUGACAGCAUCGAGGUCACCUGAUAAAUAUUUUCUUAUAAGUAACAAACAAGAAAAAAGCAUUCAAAAUUAUUCUACUGGACACAAAAUGUUGUCAACUGCAGCAUGUAUUUUAAGUGUUCCUGAAGAACUGGACGGUUGAUGAGAUCUGGAAGUCAAAGUCAAAACAUAAAUGAAAUGUAUUUUCUGGUGUCAUUCUGGUCCAUUUGUUCACAGUACAAAAUCACCAUGUAAUUUUCUCUGACUAAUUGUGAUUGGCACCUGUAUUCAAAUAGUCUGGAGCUGUACUAGAAGCUGUGUAAAAUGAGAAAGAUACAACAUCCAUGUAGAAAGGAAACCAGUAAGCCCAGGUUUAUACAAAUAAACUGAAGGAUGUGGGCAGAUAGGAACUACCUUUUUGAAGGCUGAUAUUGCAGACCAGAAAUGCAUUAGUUUCUCACAACAUUGACUCAGUUUCCAGAAUGAAUCCUGUCCACAGGAAGAAUUGUACAAGGCACAUAUCCAUUUGUAGUUUAGGAAAAAAAUUUCACUGCCUGAGCCUUCUUCCCACAAAAAGGCUGAAGAAACGUACAACUAGGCAGAUGAGAUAAGCCAUUAAUUACCAGGGACAACACAAAUCCCAUGUUUUCCCAGUGGGGUACACUUGUAAGUGGUUAUCUUUCGAUUCCUGAUUCUUUCCUGUCUACCACUUCAUCCAGAAAUAACAGAGAGAAUUACAUAGACCUUAGUCAGUGCAGAACUCUCAGCCUAGCAUCGGAAAGGCUCCUUUGUUGACAUUUCUAUUCGUUCCCAAUUUGCUAAUCUAUCUGAAGCUUUAUUUAAGCUCCUUUCUACUUUGCAAAAUUACAGGCCCAUUUCUCAUUCUAAAAAGACUCACUUGCUCUCAGUGUUGGGUAAAUAUCCAAAGUAAACCAAAAUUUUGAACUUCUUGAAGUUCACAGGCUACCCAUGCAAGUGCUUGUCGUUCCUGUCCACAAACUUUUGCAGUCUCUAGUCAACAAAAUGCAGCUAAGCAGUAAGUUUGACAGUAAAUAUUUUCAUCAGACAACAGUUAAAUCAGUUAAAUCUGAAACAAUGCAUCAAUAAGAUGCAUCAUUGUUAUUUUCCCAUGUGAAGACAAUUGGAAUGAUAAGAGAGAGAUUUUGUGCUAAAUAAGAGGUAACAUACUCAUGCCCACUUAAAUCUUUGAAUUCAAAUCAAGGUCCAGGAGUCAAAACAGAAAGCAACCAAAAUGCUAGUUUUUUAGACUGUAGGCCUCUACUUCAAAAAAUCAGUUAAUGUGUUUAAAUCCAUUCUAGUUUAGGAAAUAUACUUGAUUGUGUGCUUAACUAUAAUCAAUGCUUAUGUUUAUUAUGUGAUAUUUACUUUAAAUUAUUAUAAGCAUGUGGCUAAAUUAAUUACCAGAAGAAACAGUUUCCCAA